UCCAAGAAGACGAUGAUGUUUCCUAUCCAAGCACAUAUCUGAUCCGUGUGAUGAGAUUUUGUCCCUGAGUCUUUUUCUU